rnacentral:rRNA from 1 species
CCUACGGGGGGCUGCAGUGAGGAAUAUUGGUCAAUGGGCGGAAGCCUGAACCAGCCAAGUAGCGUGCAGGAUGACGGCCCUACGGGUUGUAAACCGCUUUUAUACGGGAACAACGUGCCUUACGUGUAGGGCUUUGCAUGUACCGUACGAACAAGGACCGGCUAACUCCGUGCCAGCAGCCGCGGUAAUACGGAGGGUCCGGGCGUUAUCCGGAUUUAUUGGGUUUAAAGGGAGCGUAGGCCGCAUGUCAAGCGUGCUGUGAAAUGCCCGGGCUCAACCCGGGCCUUGCAGCGCGAACUGGCGUGCUUGAGUCCGCGGAAGGCAGGCGGAAUUCGUGGUGUAGCGGUGAAAUGCUUAGAUAUGACGAAGAACCCCGAUUGCGAAGGCAGCUUGCUGGAGCGGAACUGACGCUGAUGCUCGAAAGCGCGGGUAUCGAACAGGAUUAGAUACCCUUGUAGUC